AUGUCACCUCCGACUUGGACCCCUGAUGAGACCUCAGACUCUUCCCUCUGGUCACAGCUACAGCAGCUCUCAAAGAUAGCAGCCCUCUCAAAGAUGGCAUGGCACCCCAGCAUGGAUAGGGGGCUGUCACUUCCUAUCAUGUGCAUCUGGGCUCCAGGGACAGCAGGGGCGGGGCCUGGGGGCGGGGUUCUGGGGGAGUUUCCAGCAAGAGGGGGAUGUGGUCCCUUUCGACUCAUAGUGGGUCCUGGGAUGUCCCUGCUGAUCUCAGUCAACUGGCCUCACUCCUUGCCUCUCACUUCUCUCAUAAACCAAGCAGGAAGAAUUUGGGAGCCCGAGCCUGACAGCCUUCCUGGAGCUGCUGAGGCAGACAGUGAGGGCACUCUGGGGCUCCUUCUUGUGUGCUGAGUGAUCCUCUCUGUCCUCUAUCCCUGCCUUCCUCUGACCGUAAUGCUGCUUUAUGUCCCGUCUGCUGACCUGAGGGCAAGACCUCACCUGGAAGAUGUCAAAUCCACAGACGCCUGGUGAGAAGUGCACCGGCAUCUCAUCUGGACGAUUCUGCCUAAGGCUUCCUGGAAAUGGCUGCUGCAGGUAAGAUAAGCGAGAGGGAAGGAUGGGUGAAUGCUGUCUGUGGUGUGAAAUCCCUCACAUCUCACUCAGGAUCUUCAUAUUGACUGCAGGCGGAGCCUGGAAACCCUUCCCUUUCUGGUAUAAAACGACCCCUGUCCCCAACCAUGCCCCACACAAUCCCAGCAGAGAAAGUGAAGGGGCUCCUUAGCCUGACGGUUCUCACUGCGGGCUCUUAGUCGACUGCAGGGGCAUUGCUUGAAAGUUCUGAGAUGAAUUUCGGUCCUUUUGUACAAUUACUGUGAUACAGGCUUUUCUCUUUUAGUGCACGUGUGACAGUCUCUUAAGCUCAUCAUUUACAAGGGCCAGUUGUCGUCCACUAACAAAGUUUGUGCUGGUUAUUGCAUGACCUCUGGGCCAUACUGCCAUUGUCCAGUUACCCAACGUUGGUGACCCCUGAGCCUGGCAUGGCGGCUCUGAGAUGCUGCCUCAGGUUCCUUCAGUGAAGCAGUGAAGGUUCAUGGUCCCACGGCCCAGUGGAAGAAUCAACCGCUCCAGUUUAAAGCCUUUUCCAUCUGAUCUGUUGUCUGUUUCCUUUGUGGCCUGCACACCUGUGUCAGCUUCAGAGUACUCCCCGACCUGGGCACUCGUUGGUCAAGUUCAAAGGAGACUUAUGUUCCUCAGGGAUUAUUUAGUUUGUGUUCUUGCUUUUGUUAGUAGUUGUCUUUAUCCUUGUAUAAUUUUCCAUGUUUGUUCUGGGUACAGGAAACAGCUGCCCACGUGUGACUCAGCUACUCUGGAU
rnacentral:lncRNA from 1 species